UUUUUUUUUUUUUUUUUGUUCUGAGUUCAUUGAAACUUCUAGAAUUGAUACAGAGGAUCCAGUAUCAAAAUUCUUCCUUUAUAUAAGUUUUCUCAGUUUUAUUUCUUGACUAUUCUUCAUGAAUGCAUUAACUAAAUGCAAAUUAAUGGAACUACCACAUUUCUCUUUUUGUUCAUUAUUCACACCUUCAUUCUUGACAGGUUUUUAUGUUAUAGAAAAGGACAGAUUCAUUUUUCUACAAAUUGACUUUCUACUGUAGGUAUUUCUUGCUCCAAAUUUGUAUCUGAGAAAAUAAAGUCAUCUGAUGAAUGAGUCAUCAGGCUUGGCUGUAAAAGGAGAAAAUCCUUAUGCUCCCCCAAAUUUGUAUAAACUGGAGAAGUGUGUUCCACUUGAGAGCAAGAGCAGCUUGCUGCAACAAUAAAAUGCAUGAAUCCUUGGCAUAAAAAUAAUUAAACAGCCUACUUUUUUUCCUACCCUCCACAUUCUGAAUCUUGUAUUUUGUGUUUGUUUCUCCAUCCAUGUACUGUAACUUUCUUUGAAAAGAGAAACCUUUUAAAAGUUAAAAUAAAGAUUUAUUUCCUUCCUGUUCUUCUCAGCAUUUAAUUAGAUCUCAAUUCCAGAAGACCGAAUGGUUGCUGCUCCACAUCCAUUCCAUUCAAUUGCUUAAGUAACUUUAAUUAAACCAGCAAAAUUAUAUUCAUGGAUUUAUUUUUUUAUCCCUCUACAUAAUCCUAUCUUAACUGAAAAUCAAACCAGAUAAAUGAGACUCUGAAACUUACAGUCUUUUACAGGACUUACCAUGUACUUUUGUUUCUUUCUUUGUUGUUUUGCCUGUAAAAGCAAAUUUAAAAAAAUAUCAAAUAUUAACUUUUGACAAUAAUUAAUUUAAAAUAUUAGAUUUUUUUAAGAGUAAGAUAAAAAUGAGAGAAUAUUCACCAGAUUCCAUUAUUUUUUCUUUUUUAUGUGGUUCUGGAAGAGAAAAAAAGAAGUAAAGUGUACAUUUGUCUUCUUGUAAUGCUUUGUUUGAUUGCCUUGGACAGUAAUUUUUCAUGGUACUAUUGGCCAUUGGAUGUGACACCUUCCUAUGGACUCUCAGUUCAGUGAGUCCUUCCCUGCUUUCCAGUAUGUCAAAAUAAAGCCUUUAUGUUUUUAAUCUCUUCAGUAGUUUUCACACUGGAUACACAGGGUCAGAUUAGCUGUUAAUAAGGGAGAGCAAAGGAUACAUCUUUUAUAAUAAGGUGCUAGAAGUAAACCAUAAAAACAUCUGCAGUUUUGCUUCAUGGUGGUUUAAGUGGAGGUCUGCUACCCAACUAUACAUGCUUGAGGACAGCUACUUUUUUAUGGUAGUUUCUGUAAUACCUCUUUCCACGCUGCAAGAAUGUGCUUUAACGCCCCCUCACAGAAGGAGCAGGGCAGCCUGUCACAGAUAGAGACUGAACAACAUCUACCAGCCAGUGCUAACAUUCACAGUAGCAAAAAAAAUAGUUAAGCUUUUUCUGUCUGCAGAUGCUUUUAAACAGCAUAUGGAAAGGCUGUGCUGUGCAAGUUUGUAUCCACACAGGAACAUUUACUAAAUUCAAGAGUAUCUGGGCUGACUGAUCACAAGAUAGAUCAAAGAAUCAUAAAACCAUAGAAUAUUCUGAGCUAGAAGGGAUAUUAUUGAGUUCUAACUCAGGAUAUUCUAUGAUUCUAUGUUUCACAAGGAUCAUUGGGUCCUGCUCCUGGCUCUCCACAGCAUAAUGCCAAGUCACACCAUGUGCUUGAGAGGAUCAUUCACAUGCUUCUUGAACUCUGUCAGGCUUGGUGCUGUGACCAUUUCCCUGGGGAGCCUGUUCCAGUGCCCAACCACCCUCUGGGUGAAGAA
ensembl:lncRNA